rnacentral:rRNA from 1 species
CCUAGGGGAGGCAGCAGUAGGGAAUCUUCGGCAAUGGACGAAAGUCUGACCGAGCAACGCCGCGUGAGUGAAGAAGGUUUUCGGAUCGUAAAACUCUGUUGGUAGAGAAGAACGUUGGUGAGAGUGGAAAGCUCAUCAAGUGACGGUAACUACCCAGAAAGGGACGGCUAACUAUGUGCCAGCAGCCGCGAAAAC